rnacentral:lncRNA from 10 species
GUUGAGAGGAUGGUUGGCUUUCUCCUCUUAGAUUUUAGAGAGCCGAAGGAAAGCUUUACCUUCAACUUCUGAAGAUGUGUUAAAAGUCACUGACAAGAGUCAAAUUAAUAACAGAAAAGGCAUACAAAUUUAAUUGAUCAUAGUUUUACAUAACACAGGAGCCUUCAGAAUGAAGAUCCAAAGAUACAGAGGAAUUGUACAUUUUAAUGCUUAGGGUCGACAAAAUAUGGACAGCCAUGUACAAAUACGAUUGGGCAAAAAGAGAAUGAUCUACUGCCAAUAGAGUUGGGAAACCCAGCAAGGCCUGUCUGUCUAGACUCCUCUUGGCCUCACUGCGCAGCAUUCGUUCCUCCUUGGUGUGUGGCAGGACCC